GGAUGCGAUCAUACCAGCACUAAAGCACCGGAUCCCAUUAGAACUCCGAAGUUAAGCGUGCUUGGGCGAGAGUAGUACUAGGAUGGUUGACCUCGUGGGAUGUCCUUGUGUUGCAUCCC
rfam:Oryza punctata chromosome 11, whole genome shotgun sequence.